AGAGAGAGAGAGAAGAGCUGACGAUAUCAAGGGGAGGAAGAAGACGAACGACGGUGGAGAUGAUUCAAAUUGCAGUUGCAUCGGGAAGGAAGCCUCUAGACACGUGAUCACGAACAGCAAACUUCCUCUUCCCUCAUCCGCCAUGGACGCAACUCGCAAGCACCAGGUUUCGUUGAGGGGCGCGAGCGCGAGGGAGAUCACGAGGGACGCUCUUCUCGAGAAGGUGUCUCAGGAGAGGGAGGCCCGGAGCUACGCGAGGCGCGCCAAUGCAGCUGCGCUGUUCAUUCAGAGAGUAUGGAGGCGUUACCAUGUGACAAGAAUGGCAGCUUUGCAUUUUCGAGAAGAAUGGGAUGCCUUGGUGAAUCAUCAUUCUGGUUUGAUGACCGGAACAUGGAUUUCUUGCAGCCUUUUGCGACCUUUCCUCUUCUUUGUUAGAUGCUUGUCUGUCCAGCGUCAUACUAUUCAACCCAGAGAUGUUGCCUGCUUGGAGAAGUGCUUUAAGAUUCUUUUGGAGAGUAUUCACUCUACUGAUCUGAGGAGAAACUUUUGCUGCUUGGCCAUCGGCACACUUGAAGAGAGAAGAACCUGGAAUUUUCAGGCACAGAAGCUGAUCAUACUGUGCUCCUUCAUUCUUGCAUCAUGUGACACAAAUCAUCCUGGUUCCAAAGAUAUGGUUGCUCUUACCUCACUAGCAAUGCGUCUACCGGUUGUCUUAACUGAUCGCAAUGGAUGGAAGAUUUCACCUCAGGAUCAUUUCAGGGAUGUUGAUCUAGCUGUCAAGAAUUUGAUCUGCUUUAUGGGAAGUAAGAGUGGGCUUUACGUAUCUGUUAGAAAGUACAUCAUGAAACUGGAUGUUUUUUUGCCAUCACAAUGCGCUGGUCUGGCACAGACCGAAGAUAGAUUCUUGAUCACAGCAAGUGCAUUAACUUUAGCUCUCCGGCCAUUUCACGUGAUAAAGUCCAAUAAAGAUGGACCAAGCCUUGUGGAUAUUGACUGUGCUCCCACACAGUACUGUAUAUCUCUCCUGACAAUUCCUUGGCUUCUUCAACGGUUACCAGCUUUUCUGGUUCCUGCUUUGAAGCAUAAAUCUGUUCUUUCACCAUGCUUCCAGACUCUUCUGAUGUUGAGAGGAAAAUUUUUAUCGGACAUGUCAGAUAUUCAUCAGCAAGGAACUUUCUGUUGGCAUAAGGCAAUUCCUCCAGUUGGUUGGGCUCUUGCAAAUGUCAUAUGCCUAAUGACAGGGAAUGACAAUGGUUCUCUAGAAACUCCAAUAUUUUGUCAAGAUGUAGAACAUGGAUUAUAUGUUCGAGUUGUUAUUACUCUAGCAGAAAACUUCUUGGAUUGGAUUGAUAAUGCUAGAUCCUUAAUAAAGGAAAAUCAAAGAUGUGAAUGUGACUGUGGAACUUUCGAGGGGUCCACCAACUUUUCUAUCUUUAAGAAAGAGUCCGUAUCGGGGCUUUCAGAAAGGUCUUACGUGGAGUUACUGAGGCCUGUUUAUCAUCAGUCACAUCUGACAGACCUUUUGGCUGUCUUGAGUACAGAUAUGUGUGCUCAGGGAGCUGAAAUGCUGGCAUCAGAGAAUUUGGAUAAUUUGGGAAAGUUGGAACUGGUUCACAUUUCGUACUUCUACUCUUAUAUGCUCAGAUUAUUUUCAGUACUGAACCCUGUGGCUGGAUCAUUGCCUAUCCUUAACAUGCUAUCCUUUACUCCUGGAUUUCUUGUCAGCUUGUGGAGAUCGCUGGAAACUAAUAUUUUUCAUGGUGCCUCUGAUCGCGCAAGAGAUUAUCCUGGGAGCAGAAAAAAUGGCAUUUUGGAUGUAAGACAGCAGACGUCUAAGUUUGGAGGUGGUAAAUGGACCAGUGUAUUGCAGAUGAUCACUGGCAAGUCUCAGGCCAGUGCUGGUAGUGGUCUUACGGACUCGACUGAUUCUCAUAUUAGCUCUGGCUUGGUGGAUGAAGAUUCUUGUGAUGUGUGGGAUGUAGAGCUUCUGAGGUCUGGCCCUCAAGGUCUUUCUAAAGAUAUGUCUUGUCUGCUGCAUCUGUUCUGUGCAACCUAUUCACAUCUUCUGCUUGUGCUUGAUGACAUAGAGUUCUAUGAAAAACAGGUUCCUUUCAAGCUUGAGGAGCAAAGGAGAAUUACAUCGGCACUCAAUACACUUGUUUAUAGUGGCUUGUCUCGUAGCAGUUGUCUGCAGAAUAAACCAAUGAUGGAGUCUGCAACCAAGUGCUUGCAUUUAAUGUAUGAAAGGGAUUGCAGGCACCAGUUUUGUCCCCCUGAUUUGUGGCUUUCGCCUGCUAGAAAGAGCCGACCUCCUAUUGCAAUAGCUGCGAGAACUCAUGAUGUUCUUUCGACCAAAUCAGAUGAUUUAUUGUUGGUUUCCAGCAUGGGCUCUAUUAUCACAACUAUGCCACAUGUAUAUCCAUUUGAAGAAAGAGUUGAGAUGUUCAGAGAAUUUAUCAAGAUGGAUAAAGUCUCUCGAGUCAUGGCGGGUGAAGUAGCAGGGCCUGGUUCUAGAAAUAUUGAGAUAGUCAUUCGGAGGGGGAAUAUUGUCGAAGAUGGAUUUCGACAAUUGAACACCUUGGGUUCAAGAUUGAAGUCAUCUAUCCAUGUAUCCUUUGUGAGUGAAUGUGGACUUCCAGAGGCUGGUCUAGACUAUGGUGGAUUGUCUAAGGAGUUCUUAACUGAUUUGUCAAAAGCUGCCUUCUCGCCCGAGUAUGGACUAUUCACCCAAACCUCAACUGAAGACAGGCUUCUGAUGCCGAAUAUAUCUGCAAAGUAUCUCGAAUAUGGAUUGCAGAUGAUUGAAUUUCUUGGAAGGAUUGUUGGUAAAGCUCUCUAUGAGGGAAUAUUGUUAGAUUACUCUUUUUCACAUGUCUUUGUUCAAAAGUUGUUGGGACGAUACAGCUUCCUUGAUGAACUGUCAACACUUGAUCCUGAGGUUUAUAGAAAUCUUAUGUAUAUUAAGCACUUCGAUGGUGAUGUAAAGGAACUGUCUCUGGACUUUACAAUUACAGAGGAAUCUUUUGGUAAAAAUCAUGUUUUUGAACUCAGACCUGGUGGCAGGGAUAUCUGCGUGACAAAUGAGAACAAGAUGCAGUAUAUUCAUGCAAUUGCAGAUUAUAAGCUUAAUCGGCAGAUACUGGCAUUUGCAAAUGCUUUCUACAGAGGGUUAACGGAUCUCAUAUCACCAUCGUGGCUUAAGUUAUUUAAUGCAUCUGAAUUUAAUCAGUUGCUUUCUGGUGGAUACCAUGAUAUUGAUGUCGAUGAUUUGAGAAGUAAUACACGCUAUACUGGUGGUUAUUCUGAGGGAAGCCGGACGGUAAAACUUUUCUGGGAGGUAAUGAAAGGAUUUGAGCCAAAAGAGCGGUGCAUGCUUCUUAAGUUUGUGACAAGUUGUUCUCGAGCUCCUUUACUGGGGUUUAAACACUUGCAGCCAACUUUUACUAUCCAUAAGGUUGCUUGUGAUGCACCUGUCUGGGCAACAUUUGGAGGUCAGGAUGUCGAGAGACUUCCAUCUGCUUCCACAUGCUACAAUACCUUGAAGCUUCCCACAUACAAGCGUGCAAGCACGAUGAGAUCAAAGCUUCUUUACGCGAUUAGUUCCAACACAGGGUUUGAACUUUCUUAGCAGCAUUCUAUCCACACUACCGCUUCUGGUAAUUACUCUUUUUGUGAUCUGCUCAUCUUAGUGGUUUAGCUUGGCAAGAGGUUGUGAAUAUUUGAAUGCUUUAUUAUAUAAUUAAUAGUCCCACUUUACCAAUAGAUUGACGGGCAUCAGGCAUGGUAUUAGUUUUUAUUUUCUCUUGUUACAUAGAUCAUGGGUGGUCUAUGACUGCAGAUGAUUAGACCUGCGGAUCAUUCUUAUCAUUUUAAAACACUAGUGUGUCCUUAAGUAGGCACGGAUUAUGAGGUAAAGUGGAAUGAUAUCUUGAGUGUAAGAGUAAGUAGACACAACGUUUUCCUCUUCUUUAUAGAAGUUGCUAUGAAGCAGUUAUUUCAAAAAACACAUUCUACUGUACAUCAACAAAUAAAAUUGUAUAGGAUUGCUGCUUAUCCCACUAAAUUAGUGUUGCUGCUUCUCUUUUGUCAUGUUCUUGUCCAUAUCAUCACAUUAAUAUAACAUUACCAGGGUUACACAAUCAUUAUUAGUCCCUGUAUAAGUAAGGGAAGAAAGCAGGGAGGAUCUUAUUGUUCGAAGAAGCAUCAAGCAACCGUUGCUACUAAUAGCCAUUAACACUUGAAGUAUAUUGGAAAUUCGGAUCCACAAACAAUUUAAAGCAAACUAAAUCUUUUUAACUAGUCAUUGGAUCUCCUUAUAUAUGCCCCUAUAUCCUUCUUUUCAAGAUGAGAAGGCUACUAUAUAUCAUUGUAGCUACAAUGCUGAUAUGCUUCUUACACUCAAGAAAUGAGAGAGAAUCCUUGAGAAAGGAGUGCUCCUGCCAAGGCCAUGUUAGCGGCUUCAGAGGGAUGGAAUCCAUCCCAAAAAACGUAACCGGUAGCAUUUGUGCAUGUUCCAAUGGACCUUGCAUUGCAAAGCAAGGAUGUUUCCACUGUACCUGUUCCACAGCAGGCCUUCGUAGAUUCAAAGAACCCUGCAACAAGAGACCAAUUCAACAAUGAAAAUUUGGUUCGCUCUUCACUGUCAGUUGGCCUGGCAUUGCAAAGCAUCUCAUGUUCUCAUGCAGUGGUUACAAAGAGACUGACGAUGAGACAAUAACAUUAAUGUCAUGGAAAAUAGUGGGGAAAUCGUGCCGUUACGGCACGAGUAGCUUACCAUUCUCAGCAGGUUUUGUGACCAGGUCCAAGAGGGGCUGGUAGAUGUCGAAGACCACAAGUUUGAGACCUGGGAGCCUUUUCUGCAAGCUCUGAGAUGUGCUAUUUAGCUUAUUAUUGAACAAAACCGCGUCUUGGUUCAAUCUUGCUACACACUGGGCGCUUCCGGAUCCAAAGAGAGUUCUGGCUGCCGGCAAACAUCCAGUUGGGGGUAGGCUUGUCACUCCAAUUUUCCUCGCUCCCGCUCCAUAGAGAUCCUGCUAUGUAAUUUUGGUGUCAUAAAAGCAGUUCCGAUUGUGUACAGCAAAUGUGUCUAAUUUCAUAAAUGAGUUUCCCAUAAGUUGUCUAUUAGAAAAAGAAAGGUUUCCCUGACGCUUCUUGUACUUUGGUGAUUAAUCAGUAUAUAAUACGAGUUUGUAAAAGUUUGAGAUUA